rnacentral:rRNA from 1 species
UACGUAUGGUGCAAGCGUUAUCCGGAUGUACUGGGUGUAAAGGGAGCGCAGGCGGCACGGCAAGCCUGAUGUGAAAGCCCGCGGCCCAACCGCGGGACUGCAUUGGGAACUACCGGGCUGGAGUGCCGGAGAGGUAGGCGGAAUUCCUAGUGUAGCGGUGAAAUGCGUAGAUAUUAGGAGGAACACCAGUGGCGAAGGCGGCCUACUGGACGGUGACUGACGCUGAGGCUCGAAAGCGUGGGGAGCAAACAGG